rnacentral:rRNA from 1 species
AACGAACGCUGGCGGCAGGCCUAAAACAUGCAAGUCGAACGAACCUUCGGGUUAGUGGCGCACGGGUGCGUAACGCGUGGGAAUAUGCCUCUUGGUGCGGAACAACGUCUGGAAACGGACGCUAAUACCGCGUAAUAUCUACGGAUCAAAGAUUUAUCGCCAAGAGAUUAGCCCGCGUCUGAUUAGCUAGUUGGUGAGGUAACGGCUCACCAAGGCGACGAUCAGUAGCUGGUCUGAGAGGAUGAUCAGCCACACUGGAACUGAGACACGGUCCAGACUCCUACGGGAGGCAGCAGUUAGGAAUAUUGGACAAUGGGCGAAAGCCUGAUCCAGCCAUGCCGCGUGUGUGAAGAAGGCCUUAGGGUUGUAAAGCACUUUCAGCCGUGAAGAUAAUGACAGUAGCGGAAGAAGAAGCUCCGGCUAAAUUCGUGCCAGCAGCCGCGGUAAAGUAGUCG